rnacentral:rRNA from 1 species
UCGCUUGGGGAUGGGCCCGCGGCCUAUCAGCUUGUUGGUGUGGUAAUGGCGCACCAAGGCGAUGACAGGUAGCCGGCCUGAGAGGGUGUUCGGCCACAGGGGCACUGAGAUACGGGCCCCACUCCUACGGGAGGCAGCAGUUAGGAAUUUUCGACAAUGGGGGAAACCCUGAUCGAGCGACACUGCGUGAAGGAUGAAGGCCUUAGGGUUGUAAACUUCU